rnacentral:rRNA from 1 species
AUUGAACGCUAGCGGGAUGCUUUACACAUGCAAGUCGAACGAGUGGCGGACGGGUGAGUAAUGUAUCGGAACGUGCCCGAUAGCGGGGGAUAACUACUCGAAAGGGUGGCUAAUACCGCAUACUAUUGGAGCUGCCGAUAUCGGAUUAGCUAGUUGGUGGGGUAACGGCUCACCAAGGCAACGAUCCGUAGCUGGUUUGAGAGGAUGACCAGCCACACUGGAACUGAGACACGGCCCAGACUCCUACGGGAGGCAGCAGUGGGGAAUGUUGGACAAUGGGGGAAACCCUGAUCCAGCCAUCCCGCGUGUAUGAGAAGGCCUUCGGGUUGUAAAGUACUUUCGGCAGAGAAGCGGUAUCUGCAGAAGAAGCACCGGCUAACUCCGUGCCAGCAGCCGCGGUAAUAC